AGUGAACGCUGGCGGCAUGCCUAACACAUGCAAGUCGAGCGGCAGCACAGUAAGAGCUUGCCCUUACGGUUGGCGAGGGGCGGACGGGUGAGGCAUACAUCGCAAUCUACUAUUUCGGGGGGGACAACGUAGGAAAACUUACACUAAUACCGCAUACUACCUACGGCAGGAAUCAAGAGUGCUUCGCAGCUUGCGCGUCUCAAUUAGACGGAGCCGGGCUGGAUUAGCUAGUUGGUAAGGUAACGGCUCACCAAGGCAACGAUGCUUAGCCGAUCUGAGAGGGUGAUCAGCCACACUGGAACUGAGACACGGUCCAGACUCCUACGGGAGGCAGCAGUAGGGAAUCUUCCACAAUGGGCGCAAGCCUGACCGAGCAAUACCGCGUGAGUGAAGAAGGCCUUCGGGUUGUAAAGCUCUUUUAUUGGGGAAGAACAGCUGCGUAAGAAUCCCCGCAUGUCCUGACGGUACCUAAUCAGUAAGCACCGGCUAACUUCGUG
rnacentral:rRNA from 1 species